rnacentral:rRNA from 1 species
UGGGGAAUCUUGCGCAAUGGGCGAAAGCCUGACGCAGCGACGCCGCGUGCGGGAAGAAGGCCUUCGGGUUGUAAACCGCUUUCAGGAGGGACGAAGCCACUCGGGUUAAUAGCCCAGAGGGUGACGGUACCUCCAGAAGAAGCUCCGGCUAACUACGUGCCAGCAGCCGCGGUAAUACGUAGGGGGCUAGCGUUGUCCGGAUUUAUUGGGCGUAAAGAGCGUGUAGGCGGUCAGGUAGGUCUGGUGUGAAAACUUGGGGCUCAACCCUGAGAUGUCAUCGGAAACCAUCUGGCUAGAGUCCGGAAGAGGAGAGUGGAAUUCCUGGUGUAGCGGUGAAAUGCGCAGAUAUCAGGAAGAACACCUAUGGCGAAGGCAGCUCUCUGGGACGGUACUGACGCUGAGACGCGAAAGCGUGGGGAGCGAACAGG